rnacentral:rRNA from 1 species
UACGUAGGGGGCAAGCGUUGUCCGGAAUCAUUGGGCGUAAAGCGCGUGUAGGCGGCUUGGUAAGUCCGCUCUGAAAGCCCGGGGCUCAACCCCGGGAGGCGGGUGGAUACUGCUGAGCUCGAGUCCGGAAGAGGCGAGUGGAAUUCCUGGUGUAGCGGUGAAAUGCGCAGAUAUCAGGAGGAACACCAAUGGCGAAGGCAGCUCGCUGGGACGGUACUGACGCUGAGACGCGAAAGCGUGGGGAGCAAACAGG